rnacentral:rRNA from 1 species
UGGGGAAUUUUGGACAAUGGGCGCAAGCCUGAUCCAGCCAUGCCGCGUGCGGGAAGAAGGCCUUCGGGUUGUAAACCGCUUUUGUCAGGGAAGAAAUCCCUUGAGUUAAUACCUCGGGGGGAUGACGGUACCUGAAGAAUAAGCACCGGCUAACUACGUGCCAGCAGCCGCGGUAAUACGUAGGGUGCGAGCGUUAAUCGGAAUUACUGGGCGUAAAGCGUGCGCAGGCGGUUGUGCAAGACAGGUGUGAAAUCCCCGGGCUUAACCUGGGAACUGCACUUGUGACUGCACAGCUGGAGUGCGGCAGAGGGGGAUGGAAUUCCGCGUGUAGCAGUGAAAUGCGUAGAUAUGCGGAGGAACACCGAUGGCGAAGGCAAUCCCCUGGGCCUGCACUGACGCUCAUGCACGAAAGCGUGGGGAGCAAACAGGAUUAGAUACCCUGGUAGUCCACGCCCUAAACGAUGUCAACUGGUUGUUGGACGGCUUGCUGUUCAGUAACGUAGCUAACGCGUGAAGUUGACCGCCUGGGGAGUACGGCCGCAAGGUUGA